UAUUUUUAUAUAUAAAUAAAUAAUUAUAUAUAAUAUAUAUUUUUAUUAUUUAAUUUUUAGUAAAAUAAAAAUAUAAAUGCGAGCUUAAUUAUAAAAAAACUUAUUUAUAUAUAAAUUUUUAACUAUUAGAUCAAAGUCUAAUGAUUAAGAUUUUAUAAAUUUUUUUAUAUAUAUAUUUAAUUUAAUUUUUUUUAAUUUAUCGUUCGUCGGCCAGCUCGUGAGUCAGCUCGUGUCCGGCUCGUUAAUAAACGAGCCGAACACGAGCUGAAUUUUUCGGCUCAAUACUUUAACGAGCCAGCUCGUGUUCG
rnacentral:lncRNA from 1 species